GGGUUGUGAGGUUAAGCGACUAAGCGUACACGGUGGAUGCCCUGGCAGUCAGAGGCGAUGAAGGACGUGCUAAUCUGCGAAAAGCGUCGGUAAGGUGAUAUGAACCGUUAUAACCGGCGAUGUCCGAAUGGGGAAACCCAGUGCAAUUCGUUGCACUAUCGUUAACUGAAUACAUAGGUUAACGAGGCGAACCGGGGGAACUGAAACAUCUAAGUACCCCG
rnacentral:rRNA from 1 species